rnacentral:ncRNA from 2 species
GUACAUUCUCAGGGCGGGGCGAAAUUCCCCACCGGCGGUAUGUUUAAUUCACUAUUUUAAUUACAUUUGUAGUGUUUAAAUAAGCCCGCGAGCGCUUUGUUGUUUUAUAUAAUAUCAAAGGUCAGCAGAUCUGGUGAGAUGCCAGAGCCGACGGUUACAGUCCGGAUGAAAGAGAAUAUGG